GUCCACGCCGUAAACGUUGGGCGCUAGGUGUGGGGCUCUUUCCACGAGUUCCGUGCCGCAGCUAACGCAUUAAGCGCCCCGCCUGGGGAGUACGGCCGCAAGGCUAAAACUCAAAGGAAUUGACGGGGCCCGCACAAGCGGCGGAGCAUGCGGAUUAAUUCGAUGCAACGCGAAGAACCUUACCAAGGCUUGACAUGGGCAGUAAUCCGGCAGAGAUGUCGGGUCCGCAAGGGCUGUUCACAGGUGGUGCAUGGUUGUCGU
rnacentral:rRNA from 1 species